rnacentral:rRNA from 1 species
AUUGAACGCUGGCGGCAUGCCUAACACAUGCAAGUCGAACGCGAAAGAGGGGCAACUCUUGAGUAGAGUGGCGGACGGGUGAGUAAUACGUAGGAAUCUGCCCUGGAGUGUGGAAUAACCCAUCGAAAGAUGGGCUAAUACCACAUAAUCUCUAAGGAGCAAAGGGGGCUAGCAAUAGCUUUCGCUUUGGGAUGAGCCUACGUCGGAUUAGCUAGUUGGUAGGGUAAAGGCCUACCAAGGCGACGAUCCGUAGCUGGUUUGAGAGGACGAUCGGCCACACUGGAACUGAGACACGGUCCAGACUCCUACGGGAGGCAGCAGUGGGGAAUAUUGGACAAUGGGGGAAACCCUGAUCCAGCAAUGCCGCGUGUGCGAUGAAGGCCUGCGGGUUGUAAAGCACUUUCGGUGGGGAAGAAAUGCUCAAGUAUAAUACAUUUGAGAGCUGACAUUACUCACAUAAGAAGCACCGGCAAACUCUGUGCCAGCCGCCGCGGUAAUAC